CCUACGGGAGGCUGCAGUGGGGAAUAUUGGACAAUGGGGGCAACCCUGAUCCAGCCAUGCCGCGUGUGUGAAGAAGGCCCUCGGGUUGUAAAGCACUUUCAGUGAGGAAGAACGCCUGGUGGUUAAUACCCAUCAGGAAAGACAUCACUCACAGAAGAAGCACCGGCUAACUCCGUGCCAGCAGCCGCGGUAAUACGGAGGGUGCGAGCGUUAAUCGGAAUUACUGGGCGUAAAGCGCGCGUAGGUGGCUUGAUAAGCCGGUUGUGAAAGCCCCGGGCUCAACCUGGGAACGGCAUCCGGAACUGUCAAGCUAGGGUGCAGGAGAGGAAGGUAGAAUUCCCGGUGUAGCGGUGAAAUGCGUAGAGAUCGGGAGGAAUACCAGUGGCGAAGGCGGCCUUCUGGACUGACACUGACACUGAGGUGCGAAAGCGUGGGUAGCAAACAGGAUUAGAUACCCUAGUAGUC
rnacentral:rRNA from 1 species